UACGUAGGGUGCGAGCGUUAAUCGGAAUUACUGGGCGUAAAGCGUGCGCAGGCGGUUUUGUAAGCCAGAUGUGAAAUCCCCGGGCUUAACCUGGGAAUGGCAUUUGGGACUGCAAGGCUGGAGUGCGGCAGAGGAGACUGGAAUUCCUGGUGUAGCAGUGAAAUGCGUAGAUAUCGGGAGGAACACCAGUGGCGAAGGCGGUUGCCUGGAGCUUUGCUGACGCUGAGGCGCGAAAGCGUGGGGAGCAAACAGG
rnacentral:rRNA from 1 species